UCAGCUGGUCCACAAACACUCGAUGAAACGCUCAGUCACGUCCAGCAGAGAGACGAAGACUCUUUGGUUCUAUUCCAUGCCGACCAUUGUCUCCAGGAAAACUUGCAAGGCGAGGCAGACAAAUACGAGGGUAGUAGAGGAAUUCAACACGUACGCCGAUGUCUAUCUUUGUGACUCAGUUCUCACGAAACACAAUUAAAAUGUGUUCUGAUACACAUUAUAUUACUAUUACGGAUCCACAAAGAAGAGGUCGGAAUAAAUAAGUUCUUCUUCUUCCGGCUCCUUUUUGGUCAUGUUGAUUUUAUGUGAGUUUAAAUGUGAUGUUCUUCAAUGUAACUUGUUAAACAUGUUUAAAUUAUCUGAACUAUUCCCAAUACUUAAAGAUUUCAAAGUAACCUGAAGCGAGUAACAGCCAAUGUAAUGUGGGGAAAGAUGUGAGAGUAGUAGGUCAAUCCAUGAAAACUAAUGAAAAAAGUUGUACUUUUGUGCUGACUGCUAAGUUAAAUAUCCACCACGUUUAUUUCUAACGUCACUAUCCAACAUUCACGUGUACGCUGAUGAUAAUGCAAAACGUCUUAUUCCAAAAUGUAAAUAAAAAGUAUUGGACAUGU